rnacentral:rRNA from 1 species
GACGAACGCUGGCGGCGUGCUUAACACAUGCAAGUCGAGCGGUAAGGCCCUUUCGGGGGUACACGAGCGGCGAACGGGUGAGUAACACGUGGGUGACCUGCCCUCAGCUCUGGGAUAAAGCCUGGGAAACCGGGUCUAAUACUGGAUAUGACUCCAUGACGCAUGUUGUGGGGUGGAAAGCCUUGUGCGGCUGAGGAUGGGCCCGCGGCCUAUCAGCUUGUUGGUGGGGUGANGGCCUACCAAGGCGACGACGGGUAGCCGGCCUGAGAGGGCGACCGG